ACAAAAAUAAAUAAAUAAAUAAAUCUUUAAAAAACAAUCAAAAAAAAAAAAAGAAAGAAAGAAAGAAUGAUUUCUGAUUGAGCACCAAAUAUGUGCUCCUCCGGUGAAUCACGUUUAUCCAAGAUUAUUUUAGUUAGGAAGUAUGAUGUUCCUGUUUUGAAACUUGUAAAUGUACUUAUUUGGAAGAAUGAUAUAUUGGCACAGGAUGGAAAUCUAACUGCUAUUUGAGGACCGCCUACAUAAGCCUUUUCUUUUUCUUUUUUGGGGACAGUGUUUUUCUCUAAAGCCCAGGCUGGCCUGGUACUCAUGAUGUGCUCCAGACUGGUCUUGAACUUGAGGUACUCUUACCUCACCCUCCAAUGCUCUAGGAUUGACAGGUUUCUGGCUUUCCAUGUUGAAAGAUCCUGCCGACAUUUCUAAAGAGCCAGUCUCCAAACCUUCAUGUGGAACUUCCUCAAGGACAAGAAUCAUCACCGUCUGACCAGCAUUCCUUGCUGCUGUCUUAAGUCUCCAACUUGUCCCUUGUGCCCUCUUGCUGAUGGAAUUUGCUGAGGGCGAUCCUUCAUGCACCCAGAGUGUACAGCUUGACCUCAGAUAAUAGUGAACCCAACUUGUGGACAUUCUCCACAUUGUCUGUAGACACACCGGGUGGGCCCAUACACAUUGGUUGGCCUCUAGUCAUCAGGGCAGCUGUUUGGCCAUCCUUCCAAGCUCCUUUCAGUGUCUGCAGAAAGUUGCUAAGGAGUGGGGUACAUCUCUGUCACAGCUCCAGGCUGGACAACCUGGCAUCCAUCAGGGCAUCCAAGUUCCCGUCACCCACAAGGGAUGAACUUUGCCAGGUGACUCUGCUGUGCUGCACAGAGGACAGGACUUCCCUUUUCUGUGCCAUUUCCUAUGUGUGAGCUGUCUGGGGCCAGCCUAGUCCAGGGAGGAGCUUCUCUCAGUGUUCGGCUUGUGUGUGUUUCUGUGGCUCCUCAGAAGCAAGAGCACUGCUGGUCUGUGCUGGAGUUUGCUCUGAGACAGGCCUCACCCUGUAGCUCAGGCUGAACUUGGACUGGAGAUUCUCCUGCCUCAGGCCCCCAGUACCUGGAUUACAGGCAUCCCACUAUGCUGAGUUCUAGCUCUGGGUGUGGGGAACUGUGCUUUCUUGUUGUUUGUUUUUUGGUUUUUUGAGACAGGGUUUCUCUGGGUAGUUUUGGUGCCUGUCCUGGAUGUCACUCUGUAGACCAGGCUGGCCUCGAACUCACAGAGAUCCGCCUGGCUCUGGCUCCUGAGUGCUGGGAUUAAAGGUGUGCACCACCACC